UACGUAGGGCGCAAGCGUUGUCCGGAAUUAUUGGGCGUAAAGAGCUCGUAGGCGGCUUGUCACGUCGAUUGUGAAAGCCCGAGGCUUAACCUCGGGUCUGCAGUCGAUACGGGCUAGCUAGAGUGUGGUAGGGGAGAUCGGAAUUCCUGGUGUAGCGGUGAAAUGCGUAGAUAUCUGGAGGAACACCGGUGGCGAAGGCGGCAUCCUGGACCGAGAUUGACGCUGAGGCGCGAAAGCCAGGGGAGCAAACGGG
rnacentral:rRNA from 1 species